UUUUAGCCCAGAUAAGAGUGGAAAUCCUUUUAUUUUUUCCUUCAAAAAAUAAAAGAUUGAAACGUAUAGCUGGAAUUGCU
rfam:Flavobacterium psychrophilum JIP02/86 complete genome